rnacentral:rRNA from 1 species
UACGUAGGGGGCAAGCGUUGUCCGGAUUUAUUGGGCGUAAAGAGCGUGUAGGCGGCCAGAUAGGUCCGUUGUGAAAACUCGAGGCUCAACCUCGAGACGCCGAUGGAAACCAUCUGGCUAGAGUCCGGAAGAGGAGAGUGGAAUUCCCGGUGUAGCGGUGAAAUGCGCAGAUAUCGGGAAGAACAUCCGUGGCUAAGGCGGCUCUCUAGUACGGUACUGACGCUGAGACGCGAAAGCGUGGGGAGCGAACAGG